CAUCUCCUCCCUACCCUGUGCCUCUGUCCCUGAACCCCUGUGUCAGGGGUUCAGGAGCAGAGGCAAGGGCAAGGGAGGAAACA